rnacentral:rRNA from 1 species
UCCCAGACUCCUACGGGAGGCAGCAGUGGGGAAUAUUGCACAAUGGGGGAAACCCUGAUGCAGCGACGCCGCGUGAGCGAUGAAGUAUUUCGGUAUGUAAAGCUCUAUCAGCAGGGAAGAAGAUGACGGUACCUGACUAAGAAGCCCCGGCUAACUACGUGCCAGCAGCCGCGGUAAUACGUAGGGGGCAAGCGUUAUCCGGAUUUACUGGGUGUAAAGGGAGCGUAGACGGCGAUGCAAGCCAGAUGUGAAAGCCCGGGGCUCAACCCCGGGACUGCAUUUGGAACUGUGUGGCUGGAGGGUCGGAGAGGCAGGCGGAAUUCCUAGUGUAGCGGUGAAAUGCGUAGAUAUUAGGAGGAACACCAGUGGCGAGGGCGGCCUGCUGGUCGAUGACUGACGUUGAGGCUCGAAAGCGUGGGGAGCAAACAGGAUUAGAUACCCUUGUAUAC